CGAUUCUGGCUCCACGAGUGACUUGUAAUUAAUUUUAUUUCUAAUUUUCACAAAACACAAUGUUAUUGAUUAUUAAACUUCAAUUUAUUGUAACAGAGAAAAAGGUGAGGAACUAUUACCCUGGAUCAAUGUUCGAAAUACUGUACUUUUCAUUGCACCUUCACCUUCUGGCGGUUCUCGAAUUUUUUAUAUUUUUCAUGCAAAAAU
rnacentral:lncRNA from 1 species